UACGUAGGGGGCGAGCGUUGUCCGGAGUUACUGGGCGUAAAGCGCUUGUAGGCGGUCCACCAAGUUUGGGGUGACAGUUGCCGACUUAAUCGGCAAAGUGCCUCAAAGACUGGCGGACUUGAGGGCCACAGAGGGACAUGGAACCCCAGGUGUAGUGGUGAAAUGCGUAGAUAUCUGGAAGAACACCAAAGGCGAAGGCAGUGUCCUGGGUGGUCGCUGACGCUGAGAGGCGAAAGCCAGGGGAGCGAACGGG
rnacentral:rRNA from 1 species